GUAUCAAUGGUCUAGCCUGCCCGGUGAAGUUUUAACGGCCGCAGUACUUUGACUGUGCUAAGGUAGCAUAAUCAGUUGACUUUUAAAUGGAGUCGGGAAUGAAUGGUUGAACUGGGCUUAGCUGUCUUAAAAAUAUUUAUUUGAAUUUGCUUUUUAAGUGAAAAAGCUUAAAUGAUAUAAAAAGACGAGAAGACCCUUAGAAUUUUUAUUAGUUGAACUUUUGUUUUUAUUGGGGCGAUAAAGAAACAUAUUUUAACUUUCUUAUUAUACUAGCCGAUAAUGUUAAGAUUGGAUAAAUUACCUGAGGGAUAACAGCAUAAUUUUAAAGUUAAGUUUGUGACCUCGAUGUUGGACUAGGAAACUGGCAGGCUAGCCGUUUGCUAUGUUGGUUCUGUUCGAACUUUUAUUCCU
rnacentral:rRNA from 1 species